UGGACAUAUUAUUGUAUUCGACUAUAUUCGACUGUAUUCACGACGUGAAAUAGGGGAUUUACACUAUUUUUAAAACGGAAAGUGAAUCAAUUAACAUAAUAGACUCCU
rfam:Nicotiana attenuata strain TT chromosome 1, whole genome shotgun sequence.